rnacentral:rRNA from 1 species
GCUACGGGGGGCAGCAGUGGGGAAUAUUGCACAAUGGGGGAAACCCUGAUGCAGCGACGCCGCGUGAGUGAAGAAGUAUCUCGGUACGUAAAGCUCUAUCAGCAGGGAAGAAAAUGACGGUACCUGACUAAGAAGCCCCGGCUAACUACGUGCCAGCAGCCGCGGUAAUACGUAGGGGGCAAGCGUUAUCAGGAUUUACUUGGUGUAAGGGGAGAGUAGACGGCAGCACAAGUCUGGAGUGAAAUCGCGGGGAUUAACCCCGGAACUGCUUUGGAAACUGUGCGGAUGGAGUGCAGGAGGGGUAAGCGGAAUUCCUAGUGUAGCGGUGAUAUGCGUAGAUAUUAGGAGG